rnacentral:rRNA from 1 species
UACGAAGGGGGCUAGCGUUGCUCGGAAUCACUGGGCGUAAAGCGCACGUAGGCGGACUCUUAAGUCGGUGGUGAAAUCCUGGAGCUCAACUCCAGAACUGCCUUCGAUACUGGGAGUCUCGAGUCCGGGAGAGGUGAGUGGAACUGCGAGUGUAGAGGUGAAAUUCGUAGAUAUUCGCAAGAACACCAGUGGCGAAGGCGGCUCACUGGCCCGGUACUGACGCUGAGACGCGAAAGCGUGGGGAGCAAACAGG